rnacentral:rRNA from 1 species
AACGCUAGCUACAGGCUUAACACAUGCAAGUCGAGGGGCAGCAUGACCUAGCAAUAGGUUGAUGGCGACCCGCGCACGGGUGAGUAACACGUAUCCAACCUGCCGAUUAUUCCGGGAUAGCCUUUCGAAAGAAAGAUUAAUACUGGAUAGUAUAACUAAAAGGCAUCUUUUUGUUAUUAAAGAAUUUCGAUAAUCGAUGGGGAUGCGUUCCAUUAGCUUGUUGGCGGGGUAACGGCCCACCAAGGCAUCGAUGGAUAGGGGUUCUGAGAGGAAGGUCCCCCACAUUGGAACUGAGACACGGUCCAAACUCCUACGGGAGGCAGCAGUGAGGAAUAUUGGUCAAUGGACGAGAGUCUGAACCAGCCAAGUAGCGUGAAGGAUGACUGCCCUAUGGGUUGUAAACUUCUUUUAUAUGGGAAUAAAGUGAGCCACGUGUGACUUUUUGUAUGUACCAUACGAAUAAGGAUCGGCUAACUCCGUGCCAGCAGCCGCGGUAAUACGGAGGAUCCGAGCGUUAUCCGGAUUUAUUGGGUUUAAAGGGUGCGUAGGCGGAAAAAUAAGUCAGUUGUGAAAGUUUGCGGCUCAACCGUAAAAUUGCAGUUGAUACUGUUUUUCUUGAGUGUACAUAAGGUAGGCGGAAUUCGUGGUGUAGCGGUGAAAUGCUUAGAUAUCACGAAGAACUCCGAUUG